UACGUAGGCAGCAAGCGUUGUUCGGAAUUACUGGGCGUAAAGAGUGUGUAGGCGGUGCUCUAAGUUUGGUGUGAAAUCUCCCGGCUCAACCGGGAGGCUGCAUCGAAUACUGGAAUGCUAGAGGGUGGGAGAGGUAAGCGGAAUUCCUGGUGUAGCGGUGAAAUGCGUAGAUAUCAGGAGGAACACCUGUGGUGUAGACAGCUUACUGGACCACUUCUGACGCUGAGACACGAAAGCGUGGGUAGCAAACAGG
rnacentral:rRNA from 1 species